rnacentral:tRNA from 1 species
GGAGGGGUGGCAGAGUGGUCGAAUGCGGCGGUCUUGAAAACCGUUAUAGUGAAAGCUAUCGGGGGUUCGAAUCCCUCCCCCUCCGCCA